UUAGAUAUAAACGAUGCAUGUAAUGGGCAUAGGUGUUUAAACGGGGGAAAAUGCAAAGCUACUUCUUGCAAUGUAUACACGUGUGAUUGUCCUGUGUGCUACACUGGCAAAUAUUGCAGAGAAAGAGUUAAUCCAUGUACACCUAAUCCGUGUAAAUAUGGUGGAACAUGUCAUGUGAAAACGAGUUACCCAUGCGAUGAGUAUGUAUGCUGGUGUCCAAGGGGCAGAAGCGGGGAUCAGUGCCAACAUAACAGCAACCCGUAUUAUUGGUAACCAUACUGAUGAAAUCGUACUGUUAUCCAUAUUUAUAGGCUUUGCACAAACCCUAAUAUUUUAUGUUGUGGAUAUCAAUUCGUUGUAUUUAAAUACAAUAUAUAUAUACUUUUACGCAGAGUGUAGGAUUAAUACGUUAGUAUAAACAAGGCAAUUAAACAGAAGGACGCACAUCUCGGGACAUCAAAGGUUAUAACUCUGGCAUCGACAUUCUAGGUGCACGUGCGUCCCUACACGCUGAACGUCACAAAAACCAUAGCAACCAGACCAUAAA